GGGGUGCUAGGGUCAACCAAGGUCUGUCUUAUUAGGAUGGGGUGCUAGGGGGGUCAACCAAGGUCUGCUUUAUUAGGAUGGGGGGCUAGGGGAGGUCAACCAAGGUCUGUCUUAUUAGGAUGGGGUGCCGGAGGGGGUCAACCAAGGCCUGUUUUAUUAGGAUGGUGUGCCGGAGGGGGUCAACCAAGGUCUGUUUUAUUUUGAUGGGGGCCAGGGUUGUGUCAACAAAGGUCUGUUUUAUUAGGAUGGGGUGCCGGGGGGGUCAACCAAGGUCUCUUUUUCUUCAUCCUCCCCUCUUUCAGCCCAGGAUAGAGAGGUAUGGUGGGGG
ensembl:lncRNA